rnacentral:lncRNA from 1 species
UUAAAAAUGAUAAAAUUUAAUUGUGUCAAGAAAAACAAACUCGGGUCCCGACAAGUAGUGCCGAACUUAAUUGUGUCGAGAAGAGGUGGAAUAGUUCCGAACUCGACAGCGAGAAGAGGCCGAAUAGUGCCGAACCGCUGAAGUAGUGAAGUCAGUAGACUCACAACCAAUCUACAAUUGAACCAAAAAAUAACAAAUUUUAAAUUAAUUACUUAACUAAAUAUAAUUUAAUUAAACCAAAAAAUAAUUAAUAAAAUCUCACCUCAGUGGGAUUGGGGAAUCGGGAUCACUGGACUGUAGACAAUGCCACAGUGGGAACCGGGAUUUGGGAACAGCCGAACCUCGGGAGGUGGCCCGGUGGGACCGUGGGACUGGGAGCCUGGGGCUGGGAGGAGGUCGGGUGUCGCCUGUCGGGUCCGUCGGCCGUCGGGACUUGGGAUUUGGGAACCGGGAACCCCGAGGCCCGAGGAGGCCGCCGGCCGGAGCGGCGGAGGAGCUGAGGUCUGACGAGAGGACGGGGCCACCGCCGGCGCCGGUCACAGCCUCACGGGAGGCCGAGGACGGCGAGUCGGCGACGUCGGCGAGAAGAGGAUGGGACUGAGGCCUCACCGCCUCGGCCCUCGGUCGCUCGCCGCGGAGUCGGAUGUCGGAGGAGCCGAGGACGGCGACUCGGAGACGGAGUCGGCGAGCCGGCGAGGACGCUGGACGCCGAGGAGAGGACGGAAGUCACGGGACUCUGCACGGACGCACAGUGGACCGGACGUCGGCGAGGAGAGCUAGAGAGGGUUUUGCAAGCCGAAUAGCCGAUCUGCCCUGCCGAGUGCCGAGACCGAGUGCCGAGAACCGGAGAAGGUUCCGGCAUUAAAAAGGCAGAGAAGGGGAGACUGGAGAGUCGGACUGUCGGAGAGAAGGGGGGAGCCGGGGAGGAAGAAGCCGUUGCCCACUUGCCCGUUGCUUGUCGAGUGUCGACGACUCGACCGCUCGACCACCGACCACGCCAUCGCCCGUCGCCCGUCGCCAGUCGCCGCAGUCGGCCUCAGCCUUUCACCGUUUUACGUCGCGUCGCCGCCGCCCAAACCCGCUGCCCACUCCGCC